rnacentral:rRNA from 1 species
GAUGAACGCUGGCGGCGUGCUUAACACAUGCAAGUCGAACGAAGAUGCCGGAGUGCUUGCACUUUGGCAGACUGAGUGGCGGACGGGUGAGUAACGCGUGGGGUAACCUGCCUUAUACAGGGGGAUAACAGUUGGAAACGACUGCUAAUACCGCAUAAGCGCACGGUAUCGCAUGGUUCUGUUAUCAAAGAUUUUAUCGCUGAUAGAUGGGCUCGCGUCCGAUUAGAUAGUUGGUGGGGUAACGGCCUACCAAGUCGACGAUCGGUAGCCGGACUGAGAGGUCGAACGGCCACAUUGGGACUGAGACACGGCCCAGACUCCUACGGGAGGCAGCAGUGGGGGAUAUUGCACAAUGGGGGAAACCCUGAUGCAGCGACGCCGCG